CAGCACCCUAUAAUAGGAGGGAGGAAGCGGGUGUGUGAGGGGCAGGCCAAAACCCUGGAGCUCUUCCAGAAGAGCGGGAGACUCUGUGAGUAUCUGCAUGUGUGUCCACCCUGGUCUGGACAUGAUGGUUCUAUUAGUAUGGAGGUGGGAAAGGAGAGGAGAGGAGCAUCCAUUUCCCUCCCUGACAAGCUCCAAUGCCCGAGGAUGCUGGAUGUGGGACUGGCCUGAGUGGAGGGACCCAGGAGGAUGGACAGAGAUACUCACAGGAGGCCCAGCAAAUCCCGCUGGUCCGGGGGGCCCAGUCUCUCCACGUUCACCCUGUGAGAGAAGGGCGCAUGGCGAGAGGUCAGGCCCCGCUGCCUGACCUGCUUCUGCUCCCCUCCAAGAGCCCCUUGGGCCCUGCCCAGCCUCCUGUUCCCCAGAGACGGGCAUCUGAAAGCAGCCUUAGUCCUGAACGCAGGCAGAGACUCUGUUAACCCAAAAGCCCUCACCCUUCCCUUCCCAUCUCUCCUCCCACCCUAGACCCAGUGGGCAGGGAGGGAACGAGUGCCUGGCAGCACGCAGGCCCACCAGGCAGCAUGAGGGCCCGCGCUGGCUCUCUGGCUCUCUGGUUCCCAGGGGCCUCGGGCAGAGCCAGGCUCAGAGGGGCAGACACUCACCGGAGCGCCACGAGCACCAGCACUUCCUGCAGGACCAGGAGGUCCAACUUCUCCCUGAGGGCGGGAAAGGGAGGAAGAGCCAGGGCCCCGGGGGAGGGUGACAGUGGUGAGUGAGGACAAGACAGAACCGCCUUUGGCAGGAGAUAGGAAGGAGGCGUGACAGGGAGGCAAGGCGUGGAGAGGAAAGGAGCCGGGACUCACCUUCUCGCCGUUAGCACCAGCUGGGCCUGGGGGGCCAAUGGGACCGGUCAGGCCCUAUGGGGAGAGCAGGCAGAGGUGCCACGAGGGAACGGAAGGGAUCACAAGGGGCAGGAAUGUGGCAAAGCCACAGCUUUGGUGAGAGGCUGGAACCCCAGUACUUA